rnacentral:rRNA from 1 species
GAGUUUGAUCGUGGCUCAGAUUGAACGCUGGCGGCAGGCCUAACACAUGCAAGUCGAGCGGAUGACGGGAGCUUGCUCCUUGAUUCAGCGGCGGACGGGUGAGUAAUGCCUGGGAAUCUGCCUGGUAGUGGGGGACAACGUUUCGAAAGGAACGCUAAUACCGCAUACGUCCUACGGGAGAAAGCAGGGGACCUUCGGGCCUUGCGCUAUCAGAUGAGCCUAGGUCGGAUUAGCUAGUUGGUGGGGUAAUGGCUCACCAAGGCGACGAUCCGUAACUGGUCUGAGAGGAUGAUCAGUCACACUGGAACUGAGACACGGUCCAGACUCCUACGGGAGGCAGCAGUGGGGAAUAUUGGACAAUGGGCGAAAGCCUGAUCCAGCCAUGCCGCGUGUGUGAAGAAGGUCUUCGGAUUGUAAAGCACUUUAAGUUGGGAGGAAGGGCAGUAAGUUAAUACCUUGCUGUUUUGACGUUACCGACAGAAUAAGCACCGGCU